rnacentral:rRNA from 1 species
AGAGUUUGAUCAUGGCUCAGGAUGAACGCUAGCUACAGGCUUAACACAUGCAAGUCGAGGGGAAACGACAUCGAAAGCUUGCUUUUGAUGGGCGUCGACCGGCGCACGGGUGAGUAACGCGUAUCCAACCUGCCCACCACUUGGGGAUAACCUUGCGAAAGUAAGACUAAUACCCAAUGACGUCUCUAGAAGACAUCUGAAAGAGAUUAAGGAUUUAUCGGUGAUGGAUGGGGAUGCGUCUGAUUAGCUUGUUGGCGGGGUAACGGCCCGACCAAGGCGACGGAUCAGUAGGGGUUCUGGAGAGGAAGGUCCCCCACAUUGGAACUGAGACACGGUCCAAACUCCUACGGGAGGCA